UUUCCGUAGGUGAACCUGCGGAAGGAUCAUUACUGAGUGAGGGCCCCUCGGGGUCCAACCUCCCACCCGUGUUUAACGAACCUUGUUGCUUCGGCGGGCCCGCCUCACGGCCGCCGGGGGGCAUCUGCCCCCGGGCCCGCGCCCGCCGAAGCCACCUGUGAACGCUGUCUGAAGUAUGCAGUCUGAGACAAUUAUUAAAUUAAUUAAAACUUUCAACAACGGAUCUCUUGGUUCCGGCAUCGAUGAAGAACGCAAC
rnacentral:misc_RNA from 1 species